AUAGUUGGGCAGUCGUUCGCCGAACCGCGUUCACUGAACUUAUACGUGUAGCCGAUUCGCCACCCUUGACCUCAACGACCCCGGAUGAAAGCCACCUGGGGUACGGGGAGAGGUGAAAGAACGUGAGCUUUUUCGAGCUUCGCCAGCGGUUGUAUUACAGCGUUACCACUUCCCCCAUUUUAUCCCAACAUUUCGCUCGCCCAAAUCAGAAGUUACUCGAACUUGGCUGCCCGUAUUUUUUUCGGAAGGAAAAGGUGCGGGCGAUCAACCGUAAUUGAACAGUGAAGGCUACUCCGUGACACGAUUUCAUCGUGUCUGAGGUCGAUGAUUGACUCGCGCCGAUGAAUCUCGUUCGACGCUUACCGUAACACGAUUAUCAGUUAUUCAACGGCAGAAUUUAGCGGAGAACUUUAUGAACUGUGAAAAUUAAUCACGUACGUCGGAAAACCUUUCGACGAUAUGGAUGGAAAGAAGUCGACUCGAGGAGUAACGAACGACGAUCAUCGCGAUGACUGAAGUUUAAUCGACAAGGCGUUUGUACGGGGGGAAAUCCUAUCGCUGACUGAAGGCAUUGAUUGAAAAGCGUUUGAUUUUCCUCGGGCUUCGAUUCAUUGAGAAGAAGUCACUGCGGAACCAAUCGUUUGUGAUUGAUGAGCAACCAAUGCCACGUGAGUCUUCCAUCAUUCGAUUCGAGAGAAAAUCAGGCGAAUUCUUCUCUCGGAAUUCUUUUAUCUUGGUGACACACUAAAUUGAAUUCUGCAAAAGACGCUAUCGAUAAAAACAAAAAAAAAAAACCUUACGAAUCCGCCGAGUUUUUCGAAGCUGAUAAAAACAACGACGCAUCCCGAUAUCCCCUUUCAAUUUAAACCUAGCUCGAGUGUUCAAAUAAUUCUUCAUCGACGAGUAAAAAAUGAAAAUACGUAAAACUAUUGACUGAUUAUCUUCAUUCGAUAUUGUGCCAAUUCGUCGAACAGCGAAUGGAUCAUUCGUGCAAAACGUUCAUGGAAAAAAGGAGAUAGCGCAAAAGUAAUAAGAAAUAUCAGACCGAGGUUGAGGCAGGAGAAAAAACUGAAAAAGAAAAAUGAAACGUGACUUGAAAGUGGAGACUUAAAAUUAAUGGAUAAUAAUUUAAAAAACACCAUCUACAGUUACGCGUGACACGUGCGAAUCCCCCGGGAGUCGUAGAGAUCCUCGAAGAUGGAUAACUUUCAAAUAUUCAUAUUUUUUUUUGUCUGCAGUUUUUUCAAAGAUAUCGGUGGUAUAAACAUAAACGUGGUGAGUAUCCCGAAGAUCGUGCGGGACGGUACGGAGGAGCCGAUCGUGUUGGACUGCGACUACGAGAUGGGAAAAUCGUCGAACACGGGCUUGACGAUCAAGUGGUACAUCGGGCAGGACCUGCUGUACCAAUGGAUCCAAGGCACGCCGCCGAAGGCCUCCGAAGAAUUUCUCAACCACGUCGACGCGUCCUACAGGGCGAGCGACGACCCGGACACGAUGUACAGAGCCGUUAAACUAGUCAGACCCGGACCCGACCUCUCCGGCGAAUACAGAUGCGUCGUAUUCACCCACGACGACGAGGACGAGGCAAGAGGCAGGAUGCUCGUAUAUUCGCCGGAGCAUCGCUUCCGGUUAUUACAUCUUCACAGACGAAACGACGACGCCAAUCGACAGUUGAUCGUCGAGUGUAUAGCGGAGGGGGUUUUUCCGCAGCCGAAGAUAACCCUGCUUACGGACGCGGAAGUUAUCCGUGAUCAAGAGCACCUCUACUUGGAACGCGCCGACGGACGAUUCGACGUGAAAGCGGUCGCCGUAUUGGAUACCGAAACUUUGCAACUUCCGAUAACCUUGAAGUGCGAACUGUACAUACAAGAGGCCAACUACACAGCGAUACGAGAAUACGUCUACAGCGGGUCCAGCGAACCACCGGAGCUCUCGAUGGCCGCCUACCUUCUCUUCGCCGUUGUGUUUUUCGUAGACGCCAGAGGAUGAUGAUGAACUUGGCUGUCGACGCGUGAGUAACUCAAAACCAUGAAGAGAUCGAGAAAAUAUUUUUUGAACUAAUCGAUGGCUAGGACGAGAACGGGAAGCAACAAUUCAUCAAUUUUACGUAACAAUUGUCUCCGUUCAGCUGCGGCACUUGUUCCAUACUGACAUAUAUGUCUGCUACACAUGCAUAUCUACAUUAUCAGAUGCUUGUGGUUUAUUUCCAAAGGUCAUUAUACAACUAAUAUGAGCGAAUAGCUGAAUUCGAAAAAAAUUGGCGUGUCCUUUUCAAUCUGAUCGCCACAAUUGGAAAAGUUUACUGAAUUAUACAUUAUUCAUUAUAUUUCGCAAUGGAUGAUAUAAAAUAUGAAUGAAUGAGCGAACAGACGAAUGAAUGGAUUAAUAUUGUAUACAGGUAAGUAACGCGAAUGAAUCGACAGGAACGAGAAGAGGGAAAAAAUAAUGAACGAACGGAAUAUGUGUGUAAAAAAAGAUCAUCGUGUUAUUUGGGUAUAAACGGUAUUGAAAUGAAGCUGUGAUAAUAUCCGAUCGUACGUAUUCAGAUGGGUGAAAUUAUGGGCAGGGAGAAAAAAAUCUGCGAAGUUUGCGUAGAAAAAUUGAAUGAAAAAAUAUUAAACGUCAAUUUCUACAUUAAUAAAUUAUAAAGUUAUGACUCACAUAAAUUUACGUUGCUAUUUAUGUAUAUUUGAAUCUUGUAAUUUAUAUGAGAAAUUAUAUAGAAGAUAUUAUUGUAUCGAUAUGUGUACGUAAACGUGUGAUAUACAUAUUAUAGAAUCGAUCGAGAGAGAGAGAAAAAAAAAAAAUAUUAUAA
rnacentral:misc_RNA from 1 species